CGGCCUUGCUUCUUCUUCUUUCAUCUCCGUCAUCUCUCCUUAAGAUUCGGCCUUACAAAAGUUGUGUUCUUCUCAUUUCUUCGUCAGAUCGGCCUUCGUGAAGGCUUGUUCUUCUCAUUUCUUCGUCAAAUUUGGCCUUCGGGAAGUCAGAUUUCUUGCAUUCGGCAGAUUGGUUUCAGGUUUCGUUGUCUGAUUGCGGUUUUCUUGACGAGUUUGACGGUGUUGUGGUUCGACGUUUGUGGAAAUGCAUUGAAACCUGCAACAUCUAUUUCUACAAAUCCACUUGGUCUUCAAGACAAGACUUCAG